rnacentral:rRNA from 1 species
GAUCCUGGCUCAGGACGAACGCUGGCGGCGCGCCUAACACAUGCAAGUCGAACGAGCGAGAGAGAGCUUGCUUUCUCGAGCGAGUGGCGAACGGGUGAGUAACGCGUGAGGAACCUGCCUCAAAGAGGGGGACAACAGUUGGAAACGACUGCUAAUACCGCAUAAGCCCACGGCUCGGCAUCGAGCAGAGGGAAAAGGAAGGCAAUCGCUUNUGAUGCGUCG